rnacentral:rRNA from 1 species
AUUGAACGCUGGUGGCAGGCUUAACACAUGCAAGUCGAACGGUAACAGGAAUUAGCUUGCUCAUUUGCUGACGAGUGGCGGACGGGUGAGUAAUGCUUGGGAAUCUGGCUUAUGGAGGGGGAUAACUACGGGAAACUGUAGCUAAUACCGCGUAAAAUCUUCGGAUUAAAGGGUGGGACUUUCGAGCCACCUGCCAUAAGAUGAGCCCAAGUGGGAUUAGGUAGUUGGUUAGGUAAAGGCUGACCAAGCCGACGAUCUCUAGCUGGUCUGAGAGGAUGACCAGCCACACUGGAACUGAGACACGGUCCAGACUCCUACGGGAGGCAGCAGUGGGGAAUAUUGCACAAUGGGGGGAACCCUGAUGCAGCCAUGCCGCGUGAAUGAAGAAGGCCUUCGGGUUGUAAAGUUCUUUCGGUGACGAGGAAGGUUGAUAGGUUAAUAGCCUAUCAAAUUGACGUUAAUCACAGAAGAAGCACCGGCUAACUCCGUG